rnacentral:misc_RNA from 1 species
UUGAAAAACAUCCUCCUGCGCUGUGCGUCUCCCGCACGCUCGGAGUUGUUAUUUCCACACACCAGUGCACCUUCGGGCUGCCUCCCCUUGCGGGGUCGGCGCUCGCCUUUUCCAUUAACCCAAUGUAUCUGAAUGUCUCUGUAUAUCUAAUACAAUA